UACGGAGGGUGCAAGCGUUAUCCGGAUUCACUGGGUUUAAAGCGUGCGCAGGCGGUUUUGUAAGUCUGUCGUGAAAGCCCCGGGCUCAACCUGGGAAUUGCGAUGGAGACUGCAAGGCUUGAAUCUGGCAGAGGGGGGUAGAAUUCCACGUGUAGCAGUGAAAUGCGUAGAGAUGUGGAGGAACACCGAUGGCGAAGGCAGCCCCCUGGGUCAAGAUUGACGCUCAUGCACGAAAGCGUGGGGAGCAAACAGG
rnacentral:rRNA from 1 species